rnacentral:rRNA from 1 species
UGCCAGCCGCCGCGGUAAUACGGAGGGGGUUAGCGUUGUUCGGAAUUACUGGGCGUAAAGCGUACGUAGGCGGAUUAAUAAGUUAGAGGUGAAAUCCCAGGGCUCAACCCUGGAACUGCCUUCAAAACUACAUUUCUUGAGUUUGGUAGAGGAGAGUGGAAUUCCUAGUGUAGAGGUGAAGUUCGUAGAUAUUAGGAGGAACACCAGUGGCGAAGGCGACUCUCUGGGCCAAUACUGACGCUGAGGUUCGAAAGCGUGGGGAGCGAACGGGAUUAGAUA